AACGCAACUUGCACUCAUCUUCGGGUGAGUAUGCCUGUUUGAGAAUCUAUUGUAUCUCUUAUCCUGGAUCCUCGGAUGCAGGGUAGAUUUGAGACGUCCCUCGCCAGAGGGUGUCUUUGAAGCGAUUGCUGGCUAGACUGCAACCAAGUGUUUGAAUAGAACCCAGUUCUUUACUGCACGGCGGAAGCUUUUGCGGCAGCCCACCACUAGCCUCUCGCAAGAGAGUCUGAACCAUGGUCUCAAAUCAGGUAGGAGGACCCGCUGAACUUAA
rnacentral:misc_RNA from 1 species